CCGAUUCACCUAAUUGAAAUUUCUUGACAUAAAGCGAUUUAAGGUUCGAAUUUGAAGAAAUUAGGGUUUUUGUUGUGCCGUUGAAUUGAUCCAUCAAAAUGAUUUACGACGUCAAUUCCCCACUUUUCCGUUCUUUCCUCAGCCAGAAGGGCGGUGCCUCCGAAAAGAGGAAAACCGAAGAGCAGAAGCCGAAGGAACAUAGGCCAAAGGCAAAUGAGAACAAACCUGUUAUGUCAGAGUAGCAGUGUGAAUGAUGCAAUCACUACCUUGGAUGGAGUCUCCAAAUGUCUAAAUUGCCACUUAAUAUUGUAACUCCUUUAACUAGAACAUCGAGUUUAUUUCUCUAGACUACAUGUAACUAGAUAUUGCUUUUGAGAAGUAAAGCUUUUGUCUGAUAAAAAA